AAAUAAAGUUUUGUUUUAACUUACUAAAUGUUAUUACCAAUUUAUAUAAUGUAAGUAAUUACUGGGAGAGAAUUAAUCAAAUAAUCUAGCUAUUUUACAAAAUAUCUACAGUAAGACUUGCAUAAAGUAUUAAAACAUAACAAUUCUCAGUUUGUUUUACAUUGCAGGGCUAGAUAAAGUUAUUUAAGGGGAUGGAGGACAUUUUCUAAUGAAGUGUAAUUCAGAUUUAUUUUUUGAAAUUAGGCAAAAAUAUCGUAAUCUCAGAAGGGGUAUAAUAGAAAAGUGAUGAAUUUAUCAAAUUAUCUCACAAUGUAGUAAAUAUACAUAAUGCUUAGUUACUAUGUACGCAAUCGUUAUUAAAGCGCAUUGUAUGUAACGUAUAAAUCGGACGGAAGUUACUGAAAUGUAGAUACAGGGUGGAAUUUAUAUUUUUCGCUUUUAAGAAGUUUAACGAACUGUAUAAUAAUUAAACAUCCUGUAUAUGCCGUACCUUCUAAUACGUUUUUUAGAGUCUAAGUCCGGGUUCCGUGAAAACUGAACUUGCUGAAGCAGCCGGUAUUAAAAUGGACCCCAACAUGCCCUUAGCCGAUUUUCCAACUUUAAACCCGGAAGAUAUAGCAAACGGCGUUUUGUACGUCCUAAGUACCCCACCUCAUGUUCAAAUCCAGGAAUUAUCAAUUUCUCCAGUAGGUGAAGCUUGGUAGACAAUUUAUAUUAAUUUAAGGGUCGAUGUACUAGAUAAUUUUAAAAUAAACGUUAUUUUAAACUA